AUCUGUAUUUCCGUAUUUUUAAAAUGAAGCUGGGAUUCUUCCUAAGAAAUUGCCACCCAGCAUAUUUGAAUUUCACUGUCUUUAUUAUUGGGCAGCUUUUUUUUUUUUUGGCUGUGCCAGAGGCAUGUGAAAAUUCCCAAGCUCCUCCCAGGCUUCCUCUUUUUCUGGAACAUCUGCCUUGUUAAUGUUUAGCUUUUUUGUUUUGUUCUUAUGGCCACACCCUCAGCAUGUGGAAGUUCCUGGGCCAGGGGUUGAAUCUGAGCCACGGCAGCGGCAACGCCAAAUGCUUUAACCCACGGCUCGGGGCUGGGGAUCCAACCAGGGAAUUGAACCCUCGGCUUUGUAGUGACGGGAGCCGCUGCAGCCAGAUUCUUAACCCACUGUGCUAUGGGGGGAAUGCCCAGUUUCUAGUUUUUGAUAAAUUCUACCAUCAACUUGCUGCCUUCUUCCCUCCAGGCUGCAAAGCCCUGUUGGAGAAAAACACACCUUUUUUUUCCUUGGCAUCGCUAGAAAUGCAGAGCUGUGUUGUGCCGUGUGCGCCAGUUGAAAGUUGUACUCUUUUAAACAAAACUGAACUUGGGUCGGCUUUGCCUGCAGGCAGUGAAGCUGAUCUACUGACACCAAGUGGUGGUGAAGGAAACUACAGCCUCGAUCGCUCUGCACCCCACCAGGGGAAUGAGCAGCGCGCCCCGCUCCAAAGACCUGAACUCUGCCAAGGCUUUCCGGGAAGGGUUAAAACGCAGUGCCGGGAGGGGGCUGCUGGGUGUGGGGUCAGCUCGAGCACAGUUCUUGGAUUGGUGAGCAUCAAGGGGAAGGGUCAAGCAUCAUCAGCCUUCGGAGGUCUCCGUGCUUGCGUCAGCAGUUUUCAUCUGGGGGGGGGGGUCUGCUUCCGGUAGGAACAAGUCAGGCAUGUGUGUCCUGCCUUUAUCUCUGUCUUUCAGGGAACAGGGAGUUUGGUCGGUCUACUAUGUGCGGAUUUAUAGUCCAAAUUGUUACCAGUUUCUUGGCCCAAUAGCUCUUCUUUGUUUCUGCGUCUUCACAUUGUCAGCUUAAAAAAAUACACAUU